UUAAUUGAAACCAAAAAGAGGUAUAUCAUUGUUAAUGAUAAAAAUGAAUUUAUUCCAAUUAAG
rnacentral:tRNA from 1 species